CAGAAGCAAAAGAAAGCUCUAGAAGAUGAAUGAAUACAGAAGCAGUCAAGGGCUGUUGUGACCCCUGCACCCCACUACCUCACCACAUGUACACACACACACUCACACACAUGUAGAAGAGAGACAGCAUAGCUUCCUAAAGCAGUUCUCAAACUUUUUGAUCUUAGGACCCUUUACGCUCUUAAAAAUU